GUUACAAGGAAAUGGCAGAAUGGAGAUGAGAAUUCCAGACUUCUACAACAUCCAGUGUGCUGGAACAGUCCUCCCUUUAGUCAAAUAGGGAUUUUUUUAAGCCUAAAAGUGAUGCUUGAAAGAAGAUUCAGAUGUGAGAAGUAAACAGCAGUUGGGGGGCAGUUAAAACACCAGGGAACAAUGCGGCUGCCCCAUAAAAAUGUGCUCCCACUUGCAUUUACAGCCUUAGCUAAAGCUGCGAAGAAGGACAACUGUUCAAAUACAAUUGUAGAGAGGUCUUCUCUUCCUUCCCCAUUCAAUGUCCCUGGUAAGCAGGGGUCAGGUCUCAGCUACCUUUGAAGACCCUACUGCAGGUGUUGA
rnacentral:lncRNA from 1 species